UCGAGCGAGUCUGCCUUGAAGAUCGGAGUGCUUGCACUCUGUGAAACAAGAUACAGGCUAGCGGCGGACGGGUGAGUAACACGUGGGUAACCUGCCCAAGAGAUCGGGAUAACACCUGGAAACAGAUGCUAAUACCGGAUAACAACAGAUGAUGCCUAUCAACUGUUUAAAAGAUGGUUCUGCUAUCACUCUUGGAUGGACCUGCGGUGCAUUAGCUAGUUGGUAGGGUAACGGCCUACCAAGGCGAUGAUGCAUAGCCGAGUUGAGAGACUGAUCGGCCACAUUGGGACUGAGACACGGCCCAAACUCCUACGGGAGGCAGCAGUAGGGAAUCUACCACAAUGGACGCAAGUCUGAUGGAGCAACGCCGCGUGAGUGAAGAAGGGUUUCGGCUCGUAAAGCUCUGUUGUUGGUGAAGAAGGACGGGGGUAGUAACUGACCUUUGUUUGACGGUAAUCAAUUAGAAAGUCACGGCUAACUACGUGCCAGCAGCCGCGGUAAUACGUAGGUGGCAAGCGUUGUCCGGAUUUAUUGGGCGUAAAGCGAGUGCAGGCGGUUCGAUAAGUCUGAUGUGAAAGCCUUCGGCUCAACCGGAGAAUUGCAUCAGAAACUGUCGAGCUUGAGUACAGAAGAGGAGAGUGGAACUCCAUGUGUAGCGGUGAAAUGCGUAGAUAUAUGGGAGAACACCGGUGGCGAAGGCGGCUCUCUGGUCUGUUNNNGACGCUGAGGCUCGAAAGCAUGGGUAG
rnacentral:rRNA from 1 species